AGAAGGGAAGGACUUGAUCGUUGGCCACGUUUGGCACUCAAGGAGAACAAACAGGGACUCCAGAGAGUGACCAUCAGCGAAGGUGGGCAGCUGGAUGGGCCCUCAUGUGGCAGCUCAGCUUUUCUUCUCUGAAAAGUUGGCAGAGCCUGGCAGUGGCCUAGAAUUACCCAGCUGAAUUUGGCAGCAGCUUCAAGUCAGAGAUCUUGGAUUCAGAUCCCUGCUGUUCCAUUUUGCCUGCUGAAGACAGGUUUCUGAGGCUCACAGAAACUUCAGUGUUCUGCUCCAGCACGGCUGAAAUCAGAGAAGAUUGGGAGAAUGUCAUAGAUGGCACAGAAAUACCUGCUGCAGUCACAACACACCUAAAUGUCACAUCUCCUUCUCCUCAGGGCCUAAGUAACCCAGAGCGUGGGCACACGGUCGAUGCUCACAAAUUGGGAUGGCCGAGUCAUUGUCUCCGUGUCAUCUGCCUAUUACCUUCCAAUUAAAAUGUCCCCUUUUUGCCUGCACAAACGGAAUUAAUUGGGCAACUGAGAACUUUAUUCCUAGUAACGAGCAAGGACGAAAUGUCUUAACUUUCUCUGUGGUUUUAUAGAUUUCUAUGGUUUUUAUUUUGUAGAAAAUGUACACUGUCACAUGCCUACCAC
rnacentral:lncRNA from 1 species